rnacentral:lncRNA from 1 species
CGAUUUCCUUAAUUGGUACCAACUGCACCAACUGCACGGUGCUUAAUAUUAAAGCUGAUAAUAGACUGAUUGUGGAAAAACCAAUAAACAUCUUACACUCCAAAAUAAAAUAAUUAAAAAAAAAAAAAAAAAACAUCUUACACUCCGCAAGUCCACAUCCAUCACAAACUAUAAACAUUGUAUUUAUGUAUUAGUAGCUUCACACUUCACUAGAUCAAGGAACUUCAUAAUAUUUUCCAUCUUUUCGUUCUUGUAUGUAUCAAGCAUCAACAAAAAGAUGAAAAUGCAUAAAAAUAUUGUUACUAGCUAGUUAACCAAGCAGUGGUAAUCUGCUGGUAAGAAUUAAUUUUGAGGGAAGUUGUAAAUCCACCGGCCUUGAAUUCUAAUUCCGGCCGGGAACUAAGUUCACAUUGGUUGGCCAAACCUUAGAGGCCUCAUUUAUAAACCCGGGACUGGACCAUUCAUACGUAGUUACUCUAGCGUUGGAGAUUAAUUGUGCCUCGACCCCAUAUCACGUCUAGGUCAACAAACAACAACACGUUGUUACUAAUUGCUGCUUUAAAGGCUACUAAAAACAUUCUGAGGUGGUUGAACGAGAAUAAAAUAAUACGACCACAUCGACAUAAAAGUUUGAAAACGAUAAAAGAGUGAUGAAACACGAGGAGAGUUAUAGACCAUAUAUAUAUUAUGUAAAUGCAACGCCCUGCUUACUUUUAUUUUAUUUUAUGCAAUGCCUUGACACGAAAGAAAUAACCGCAUAUUCAAAUAUAACCAACGCUCAAGUUAAUUUCUACUCAUUUCUUACUAACCAAUUGACUAGUUGAGGUUUUUCUUUAAAUAAAAUUAUUUCAACACACUGUAAAUUAAAAUAAAAUAUAUUUAUGGCUACUUAAAGGAGAGAGAGAUCUAUCAGUAUAUAUACACCCCUCUGCUAAUCAAAUUCCAAAUAAAAAUAUAUAGGAUUGAUUGAGAGAAGAGAGGAGGUCAAAGAUCUAGAGAUCUCAGGGAAGAAGCAGAAAGAAAUGGGUUCGGCGGAGGAGGGUUUGCUCGUGGUGAGCCACAGAGAAGAUGUAAACAAGAAAGAUGUGUUCUUUGUGGAGAUGAAGAGGCUUGGCUGCAUCGCUGGUCCCAUGAUUGCGGUGAACUCUUCUACGUACGUUCUUCUUGUCAUAUCCAUAAUGAUGGUUGGUCAUCUCGGUGAGCUUUUCCUCUCUAGCACCGCCAUUGCCGUUUCUUUCUGCAGCGUCACCGGCUUCAGCGUCGUUGUAUGUCUCUUUCUUGAUCUCUGUGAUCUCCCUCUCCCUCUCUCUUUCCUUUAAGCUUCAAGGUUAUUAAUUUUGAUUGUUUUAUGUAACCACACAGUUUGGAUUGGCUAGUGCAUUGGAGACUUUAUGUGGCCAAGCUCAUGGAGCUAAACAAUUCGAAAAGCUUGGAGUCCAUACUUACACUGGGAUCUUCUCUUUGUUUCUUGUGUGUAUUCCUUUGUCCGUGCUAUGGACUUACAUGGGUGAUAUACUCUCUCUUACUGGACAAGAUCCUCUGGUUGCUCAACAAGCAGGAAAGUUUGCAACUUGGCUCAUACCCGCGCUCUUUGGUUACGCUACUUUGCAGUCGCUUGUACGGUUUUUCCAAGCACAGAGUCUGAUUUUUCCUAUGAUCAUGAGCUCAGUCUCUUCUCUUUGUGUCCAUGUUGUCCUCUGCUGGAGCUUGGUCUUUAAGUUUGGGCUUGGGAGCCGUGGUGCAGCUAUUUCGGUCGGGGUUUCUUACUGGUUAAAUGUGAUUGUGCUUGGGUUGUACAUGACGUUUUCUUCCAGCUGUAGCAAGUGCCGUGCACCCAUCUCCAUGAGUGUGUUUAAAGGAAUGGGAGAGUUUUUCCGGUUUGGAAUCCCAUCUGCUUCUAUGAUUUGGUAAUUGAAUUAUCUCUUUAUGCCUCUUUUGGUUUAUAGUCACAGAGUUGUUGACAUUUGACUUGAGUUGAAUCUCUUUGGUGUUGAAUUAGCCUUGAGUGGUGGUCAUUAGAAUUUCUACUCUUACUCUCUGGUCUUUUACCAAAUCCAAAGCUAGAAGCCUCUGUUCUCUCAGUCUGGUAUGUUCCUUUUAUAUUUUAAAGAUAUAAUUUUGGGAUGGACUGUUAUCAUAUGCAAACUCAGUUGCUUUCUUCUUUGUUUUAACAGUCUAUCAACAGUCGCCAUCAUAUACCAAAUAGCAGAGAGUCUCGGGGCAGCAGCGAGGUUCUUGUUGUUUGCACUAGAAGAUUUGUAAAAUGGGGAACUAUCUAUCUAAAACAUCUCUCUGUUGUUGUUAUUGUUGCAGUACAAGAGUUGCAAACGAAUUAGGAGCUGGAAAUCCGAAACAAGCACGAAUAGCUGUGUACACAGUAAUGGUCAUUACAUGUGUAGAAUCAAUAAUGGUGAGCACAAUAGUAUUUGGUGCAAGAAACGUAUUUGGUUACCUAUUCAGCUCUGAAACUGAAGUUGUGGAUUAUGUAAGAACACUGGCUCCACUGGUUUCUUUAUCGGUCAUAUUCGAUGCCCUUCACGCGGUUCUUGCGGGUUAGAAUAGAUUCCCCUUCUAUAAUGUCAAAUUCAUUUAAGGAUUAAUAAUGUGGUUAACUAAGAGGGAUUGAAAGUGCAGGUGUGGCUAGAGGAUCAGGGAGGCAAGACAUAGGGGCUUAUGUAAACCUAGCAGCCUACUAUCUCUGUGGCGUACCAACUGCCAUCAUAUUAGCUUUUGGGUUAAAAAUGAGAGGAAGAGGACUCUGGAUUGGGAUCACAGUUGGGUCCUUUGUUCAAGCUCUUUUACUCAGUCUUAUUGUUAUCCGCACCAACUGGGAACAAGAGGUAAGUGAAGUUAGAGCUGCAGGUGUCCUUUCUUGUUUCUUCGGGUUUAACUUGGUGUAUUAAGAGAAAGUGGUGUGUACUGUUUGAUGUGCAGGCGAAAAAGGCCAGACAAAGACUAAUGUGUGAGGUGUUUGAAGAAGAUGAAGAAAAGUGUAGAACGUGAAGAGAUCAGCUAGAUCAAAAGAAGUCAAUAUUUCGCCAUUCAAAUUAAAUGUUGUGUUCUUUAUUAAUUCGAUUUUUGGUGUUACUAUUUAAGUGCACAUGCACACGUUAUGGCCUCUACUUUCACACACAUGAUAUGGUCAACCCGUGCCUCUACUGUGCUUAAUUUUGUUGUGUUUGUUUUGUCAACUCUAUAUUUUUUUCAAUCGGAAAGAAAUAAACAUUAAUCACGUGAUAUUGUAUUAUUGUGCAAAGUUUAAGGAAAAUUCUAGGUAUUGCUCCAAAUCGUAUACGUGGGUGCAACAAAUUAAUAAAUAGAAAACUAAUAUUUUGAGAUUAGGAUUACAUUUUAAUAAGAAACUAAUAGUAUAACAAUUUGUAAUAUUAUUUAUUUAUUAAAAAGAAUAUUUUCAUUUUCUACCAAAAAAAAAGAAUAUUUUCAUUGAUUGAUUAUUUACUUAUUAAUUUUCCAAAUAAUUUCUUAUAUAUUUUCAAACAUACAUUUUUUAAACGAAAAAAAAACAUAACAUUUUUUAAACUGAUUUAUCCUGAUGCUACAAAACUCGUAUAUAACCAAAAAAAAAAACGUAGAUAAAGAUAAAACCCUCAAAAACUGGCGAUGACUUGGACUUGUAAAAGUUUAGUGACAUGUAUGUGGCUACAAAAAUACAAUUACUGUGUGACACUGUAAUGAUUGAACAUAAUCGAAUCAAAUAUAUUUUGAGUAAUCCUUGUCCACUACAGAUUGUAAAUGUUGUAUAUUAUUAUUAUUAUUAUUAUUAUUAUUAUUAUUAUUAUUAUUAUUAUUAUUAUUAUUAUUAUUAUUUUUUGUAUAUUAUUUUAUGUACAGGUGGUUUCACAAUAUUAAAGCAAAUUUUGUUAGUUUCCAUCUUCUGGUUCAUGUAUCAGCGGUAUAUAUUAUCCUUUCGUAGUUGGUACUGUCUAAUAAAAAACUAGAGCAAAAGCUGUGAUAGGUGAAAACGUGUUUCCUGCUAUUAGAAAAAUCUAUGAAAACGUUUUUUCUGCAGAAGUAGAAGUAGAAGAAUAUUGACACAACACGACGCUUAACUUCAAAAAGAAAAAGAAAAAAGAAAAUAUAUAGAGUGAGGAUUGAGGAACCAUGAGUAGGUUCACAAACGUCACGUUUUUUUUCAGUUGAUAUACUUAAUGCCUUGUAGAGAAAGAAACAACUAUAUAUAUUCAAAUAAAACCAACAUGGAAAAUUGAAAAUUGAAAUCUUAAGAUCUCAGCGAAAACGCAUAGAAGAAUGGAUUCAGGGGAGAAGGGCUUGCUUGUGGUGAGCCAUGGAGAAGAAGUAAACAAGAAAGAUGGGUUUUUGCGGGAGAUGAAAAAGCUUGGUUACAUCGCUUGUCCUAUGGUUGCUGUGAACUUGUCUAUCUAUUAACAUUUUUGAAGUAUCAAUAAUGAUGGUUGGUCAUCUCGGUAAGCUUUAUCUCUCAAGCACCGCCAUUUCCGUUUCUUUCUGCAGUCUCACCGGUUUCAGCCUCGUCGUAUGUCUCUUUCUUUUGCUUAGUUAUAUGAUUCGCUUAUGAUUCUGAAUUGUUAUUUAUUUGUGGUGAUCAUAUACAGUAUGGAUUGGCUAGUGCUUUGGAGACAUUAUGUGGUCAAGCUAAUGGAGCUAAGCAAUUCGAAAAGCUUGGAGUUCACACUUACACAGGGAUUUUCUCUUUGUUUCUUGUGUGUAUUCCUCUGUCUCUGCUCUGGAGUUACAUGGGUGAUAUACUCUCUCUUACUGGACAAGAUCCUCUGGUUGCUCAUGAAGCAGGACAAUUUGCAACUUGGCUCAUACCCGCGCUCUUUGGGUAUGCUGCUUUGCAGCCGCUUGUUCGGUUUUUCCAAGCGCAGAGUCUUGUUUUGCCUCUGAUUAUGAGCUCAAUGUCUGCUCUCUGUGUCCAUGUUGUCCUCUGCUGGAACUUGGUCUUUAAGUUUGGGUUUGGGAGCAUCGGUGCAGCUAUUGCAAUUGGUGUUUCUUACUGGUUAAACGUGACUGUGCUUGGAUUGUAUAUGACGUUUUCUUCCAGCUGUAGCAAGAGCCUUGCACCCAUCUCCAUGACUAUGUUUAAAGGAAUGGGAAAGUUUUUCCGUUUUGGAGUCCCAUCUGCAUCUAUGAUUUGGUAUAAUUAUGAACUCUUCAUGCUUCUUUUUCUUGUUUGGUAGCAGGCUUCUUGAAAGUUGACUUGGCAUGAGGAUAUUUAAUUUGUUUUCUUGUAACUAGCCUCGAGUGGUGGUCAUUCGAGUUUUUAGUCAUGCUUUCCGGGCUUUUACCAAAUCCGAAGCUAGAAACCUCUCUUCUCUCAGUGUUGUAUGUUUUUUUUUUUACAUAUAUUCUAAAGAUUUUGUUUUGGAAUAGAUUGAUAUCAUAAAACUAAGUUAUUUUGUCCCUUCUUGAAAAGUCUAUCAACAGUCUCCUCCUUGUACCAAAUAUCAGAGAGUCUAGGCGCAGCAGCAAGGUUAUUCCUCAGUUUCCCAGUUUUGAAAAAUGAGAGCUAUCUAUCGGAAACCUAAACCGAUCUCUGUUGUUGUUGCCUGUUGGUUGCAGUACAAGAGUUGCAAACGAGUUAGGAGCUGGAAACCCGAAACAAGCUCGAAUGGAGGUUUACACAGUGAUGGUUAUAACAGGUGUAGAAUCAAUAAUGGUGAGUGCAAUAGUUUUUGGCACAAGAAACGUAUUUGGUUACCUAUUCAGCUCUGAAACGGAAGUUGUGGAUUAUGUAAGAUCAAUGGCUCCGCUUGUUGCUAUGUCGGUCAUAUUUGAUGCCGUUCGCGCAGUUCUCUCUGGUAAGAGUCUCCAUCUAUAUAUAAUGUUGGGGUCACAGUUGGGUCAUUUGUUCAAGCUUUUUUGCUCGGUCUUAUCGAUGUCCUCACCAAUUGGAAGCAAGAGGUUAGUAUUGCGAGAGUCAUGAUGUCCUUUUCAUUUCUUUUUUAGGGUUUGGGAGAAAGUGAAAGUGAUGUCUAUUGAUGAUAUGAAUGGGCAGACGAGGAAGGCUAGAGAUCGACUGAUGGGUGAGGGGUUUAGAGAUGAAGAAAGUGAAGAACAUGAAGAGAUCAGCUAAGCUAAGAGACGUCAAUCAUCAUGUCUCCAUUAUAUGUUGUGUCGUUAUGUAUUCGAUUUCUAGUGUUGUUGUUUUCGAUGAUGAUAGUAACGAAUAAAGAGGAAAUGAAUGUGCGGUACUGCCCACACACAUGUACGGUACUGCCCACACACAUGAUUUGGCCUUCUCCCUUGUAAAUUGUAUAAAAGAAGAUAGUCAUUCAUCAUGUGAUAUUGCUCACAAGAAAUAUGAGUAUUACUAGACAUUUUGGAACUGGUGGAUUCAUAACCUUACUUUACUCAGAAUGGCAUGCAGCUGAUAUUGUUCACAACCCAUCUGGUUAGGUGCGGAAAUUUUGUUGUUACAAAAGUCAAAAAGAACUAAUAGUCUGAACCAAGUUGAACAUAUGAACAUAUGUAUGUUAGUAAAAAUUCAAAAUAUAUGUUUAAAAGUUUUUCAAACCGAUCCAAAGUCAAUCAGGACAUAUAACAUUUUUUAUGGAAGCAUCUUACAGAGUAUUUUAGGCUAAAAUUUUUUGUACAAGAUAUUUUUUUAAAGAAAUCUUAGCCUAAAAUACUCUCUAAGAUGUUCCCAUCUUAAACCAAAAAAGCUCAAAAUUUUAUUCGAGAUAUAUAUUUAAAUCCGAAAUCGAUGUUUUCAGGGUCAAACUGAACCAACUAGCGGUCUUUGACCCUAGUCAACAUGCAUAGUCACACUUUAAGAGGGGUGUAUUGAAAGUAGAAUUCUAGAGGAUUUUGGAUUUUUUUUUAAAUUCCCUGUUAUUCAACUAGUGAUUUUUAAAUCACUUUUCAAAUCCACUGUUAUUGAAUAUGACAUUUGUAAAAAGUCUUUCAAAAUCACUUACAAUCUCUGUUAUUCAAUCAAUAAUUUGUAAAUAUCAUAUCAAAUCCACUGUUAUUCAAAACAUAACUCUUUCUUUUUUAGAAAACCAUAAAAAGUGAUUUUGGGAGACUUUGAUACAAUUUUACAAGUGAAAACCAGUUAAAAAAAUCACACCUCUCAAGGUGUGAUUUUGAAAGAUUGGUUUAAAAAAAAAAACAAUUCACAAAAAAAAGGCACUCAAAUUCACAAACUUAUGGGUUUCACGUCUAUUUCUUUAUUAUUAGGGUUAGUUGUAAGGUAUAUAUAUACUCACUUUUUAAUCAAUAUUUUUUUGUUUAGCAGCUUACACAAACAAGAUACGUAAGGUUAUUUCUCUUCCAAUCAAGGUCUUCACGUCUGUUUACACAAACAAGCUUUCACGUCUGUUUCUCUUAUGUUGUUAGUUUACAAUUGACUAUGAUUAGAAAGUAUCAUCAUCGUUCUUAAAUUAUGUCAUAAAAAUAUGGUUUUUUUUGUGUCUUAUGUUCUGUUCAAACUUGUAUCAUCGUUCACAUGUUUGAGUCCUAUGUUUUGUAAAUUCUCUUGGUUUUCUGAUUUUGUUAGUUGCUGUUGUAGACUGGAUUGGUUAUACAGUUCAUAAGCUGGACUUGAUUGGGACAUAGUGAUCUGUGGAUUGUUUAGCUCUUGUGUCUUUACUUUCCUGUGUUCUAAGUUCUGUUUCUUAUUAUAUUAGUUACUAGUUCUGAUUAUAUAAUGUUUGCCUUACAUAUUUGUUUCAUUGUAUGAUUAGUUACCAAGGUACAAUGGGAGAUACACAAGAUGUGAAAGCUAAAGGUCAAUAUAAACAAUGGUCUGAGCCUGAACACAAGUUGUUAGUGCGGCUGCUAGUGGACGCAGUUAAUCAAGGUUUUCGUGAUGCUAAUGGCAAAUUCAACAAACUGACGGUGGAAAGAAGAAUAUUACCAUCUCUAAAUAAACAGCUUGGAACAAAUAAAAGUUACAACGAGUACAAAAAUAGGCUCAAGAACUUGAAAGGUAAGUACAAUAGCUUGAAAGAUUUACUUCGUUUUAGUUCAGGAUUUGGGUGGGAUCCUGAAACGAAGAAGUUCACAGCUACAGAUGAAGUAUGGAAUGGCUUUUUGGAGGUAAAAACAUUAUAACAUACAACUUUAAUAUAGCAUCGCUUCUUAUGUAUAAAACUAACCAAUACAAAUUUUUUAAUAUAUAUAGGCUCAUCCACUUAAAACAAAUUUACGUGAUGAUACAUUUGAAGNNNNNNNNNNNNNNNNNNNNNNNNNNNNNNNNNNNNNNNNNNNNNNNNNNNNNNNNNNNNNNNNNNNNNNNNNNNNNNNNNNNNNNNNNNNNNNNNNNNNNNNNNNNNNNNNNNNNNNNNNNNNNNNNNNNNNNNNNNNNNNNNNNNNNNNNNNNNNNNNNNNNNNNNNNNNNNNNNNNNNNNNNGAAGUUUUCUCUUCACUAGAGAAUAGUAGGUUAGAAAAGCUUCCUCCACGUAAGAAAGCUAGAACUGAUGCAUGUAAUUCGAACAAAGCUUCUGAUGAAGUGGAUACGGUAGAAGAAUUUGGUCAUCAGAUUUUUGGCAUGAUACAGAGAAGAUGGGAAAAGGAAAUUGAAGAAAAGGAAGCUGAUGACAAAGCUAAUAAUGUGUGGGAUGCUAUCAAAGAAAUUCCUGAUUUGACUGACGAUAUGCGUUAUGAAGCUAUGACAUUGGUUCNNNNNNNNNNNNNNNNNNNNNNNNNNNNNNNNNNNNNNNNNNNNNNNNNNNNNNNNNNNNNNNNNNNNNNNNNNNNNNNNNNNNNNNNNNNNNNNNNNNNUUCAUUUUAUUUUAACUAUAUUUUCAAUUCAUUUUUUCUUUAUGUUUAAAAACACAUAUUUAUAUACAUAUAUACAUACAUAUAUAAAUAUAUAUUUAAACCAUAAAAUAUAUAUAUAUAUAUAUUUGCUGUAGAUGUUGGUUACGAACUAAACCCUACGAGAUUCUCAAAAUAAUUUACAAUAGCUACGAGGUUCUAAAAAACUUAUGGGCUUGAUAUCUUUUUUCUUAAUUAGGGUUAGCUGUAAGGUAUAUAUAUACUCAUUUUUUUUAGCAGCUUACACAAACACUAUACAUAAGGUUGUAUUUCUUUUCAAGUCAAGGUGAGUUUUUCUCUUAAUUUACUUUUGCUAAUCUCCAAAUUAUGUUUCAGCUUCUUUUGUCACUUUCAUGCGUUUAGAGGAUGUUUUUAUCCAACGUUUGUCAAUUUCAGCUUCUUUUGUCAACGUUUUCUGUUUUGUUCUGACGUUUUUAUUUUGUUGUGGUGUUAUAAUUUUGUUGUUGUGUAGAGUUUUAAUGAUGGAUCGUAUUGUACAAGAAAGUGAAGUGAUACAAGCUAAAAAAAAAAGAAAAAGAAUGAACAGUUUCAGAUCAGAUGUUGAUAUAAUGUUACUGGUUUUAUUUAUCAUGGCGAAGGUCCGUUAUUUUCAUCCGCAAAUACACCGCCAAAUUAGAAAGCCAACUACAAGACUUGGUCAUGAAUACAUACAAUAUGCGUUAGUUAAAGAUCAUGAACAAUUCCGACGGCUAUAUCGUAUGUAUCCAGAACCAUUCCUAAAGCUAUGCAAUAUAUUUAGAGUGAAGAUGGGUUUAAGAGACACAAGAAAUGUUUCGGUUGAAGAAAUGCUUGCAACGUUUUUGUUCAUUGUUGGUCAAAAUUCGAGGUAUAUACAUGCUGAAGGUAGAUUCGAGAGGUCAAGAUUCUCAAUAAGCAAGAGCUUCAACACCAUUCUUAAGACGUUAAACGCACUUGCUCCAAGCUACAUGGCGAAACCCGGGCUUGCAGUUCCCGCAAAAAUAAAAGACAGUACACGGUUUUAUCCUUACUUUAAGGUAUGUGAUUUCUUCUACUCUUUUUUUUUAAGUAACUCCAAAAUAUUUAAAAUAUAUAUACAUAUUUUUUUGAAGGAUUGUGUGGGUGCUAUUGAUGGAACACAUAUCCUUGCAAUGGUAGCUGGAAAAGACACAGCUAGUUAUCGUAACCGAAAAGGACAAUUAUCGCAAAAUGUUUUGGCCGCAUGUAAUUUUGAUUUAGAAUUUAUAUAUGUUCUUAGUGGAUGGGAAGGUUCAGCUCAUGACUCAAAAGUAUUACAUGAUGCUUUAACACGAAACACUAACCAAUUAAAAGUUCCUGAAGGUAUGUCAUUUAUAUUAUGAUUAAAAAAAAUUUGUUAUUCAAUUUCAUCUAAUCACUUGUGUGCUUUAUGAAAUUUCAGGAAAAUUUUAUUUAGUUGAUUGUGGAUUCGCCAAUCGUCGCAGUUUUUUAGCUCCAUUUCGAAGUACUCGCUAUCAUCUCCAAGACUUUAGGGGACAAGGAAAAGAUCCCGUAAAUCAAAAUGAGUUAUUCAAUCAUCGUCAUUCUAGUUUACGAAAUGUGAUAGAGAGGAUUUUCGGCAUCUUCAAGUCAAGAUUUCUCAUCUUCAAAUAUGCACCACCCUUUCCGUAUAAAACGCAAGCGGAGUUAGUACUUGCAUGCGUAGUUUUACAUAACUAUCUUCGUAAAGAAUGUCGUUCGGAUGUGUUUCUUCCAGAAGAAAACGAUGUUGAAGAAAGCGGUGUUGACGAAAGAGAUGAUGCUGAAAAUAAUGCAAAUGAAGAGCUUCAAGGUACUCAAGAUCAACAAAGAGUUCUUGCUAAUAAUUGGAGAGCAUCAAUAGCUACACAUAUGUGGACAGAUGCUAUGAAUAUGGAAUCAUGAUGCAAUAUGAGUACUUAUCUUUAUAUUAUUUUUGGAUUUUUCAAUUGAAUCUUUUGUGUUAGACGGUUUGGAUCGAUUUGAAUUAUUUUAACUUGGUGAAAUAAAGCUUUUUCUGGAUUUGAUAUGAAUAAUGAUGUGUGGAAGGUUUCGUGAUUGCACAACGUUUUUGUUUUGGUAAAAUUUUCAUGGUCUCUCAUGUUGUUGUGAUUGUGUUUCACUAUCUGUAAUAAACGGGAGGCUAGUCAUAAUCUGCUUAUUUUAUCUCCUCUCACACAAAUAUAUGCAUAAUCUGCUUCAGUCCAUUCUUCACCACAUUGGUCACAAGCGACAAUGGAGGGUCUGUUUCAACUCUCUAUAGCACACAUGUAUCAUUUGAGUUUGUUGGUUUUUUAAUUGUCUCUCUGAUCUGUUUAUCCUGAGAAUAUGUCAAAAGCCCAAUCAUCACUAGUUUUGAAUCUGUUCUUGACGUUAAACAUGUUCAUCAUAUAUCCUUCUUUUGUUUUUUUAACAUGUGAUAAUCUCUUAAAAUCACCCAAAAUUCUUUUUAAAAUCUCACCAAAUGUCAUCAAAUCUCAAGCUAAUUUCAUUUUUUUAAAAUAGGAAACAAUAACAAAUCCACCAUAAUACCUUACAAAACUCACUUAAAUCUCCUAGAAUCUCAAAUAUUAUAAAUUCCACAAAAUCCUUCCAAAUCAUGAUUUGAAUACACCCCCCUAAGUCUUUGACCAACGAACUGAAUGGAAUCAAAUAUAAUCAGAGUAAUAUGGACGUUCGCUCCAUUCCCAUAACAGAUUAUAAAUAUUGUAUUAUGCUUAACAAGGAACUUUAGAUAAAUUUCCAUCUUCUUUUUUUGUUUGGAGGAAAAUAAAAGUUUUUUUUUUUUCUGGGAGUAAAAGAAUAUUGAUACGACACGACGCUAAAUUCCAAAUAUAAAAUAGAGUGAGGAGGCACGAGUGCGUUCGUAACGUCACAUAUGAUAUAAAUGGCAACUUUUUCCAAUUGAUAUAAUGCCUUGUAGAGAAAGAAACAACCAAAUAAAUUUCAACAUUGAAAACUAAUUCAUUUUUACAGCCUGCUUGACUAAUUAAAGAAAUUAAGAUUUUCAUAUUUCACAAAAACAUUGUAUACUUUGAGUAACUUUUAUUUUAAAACUAUUUUUCUGUAAUUUGCUAUAGAUUAAUUAUGUGCCUGCCAUUGGGAUUUGGGAUCCAGAGAAACAAAAAUUUAUGGCGGCUAAAUGAGAGAGGACGACGCAUGUAUCUGUAUCUCUGGGGGUGUAGAAUCAAGAUACGACACGCCGCUAAAUUCCAGAGAUGGACAAAAAAACAAAAAACAAAAAAAUAUUGGUAUAAAGAAUAAAUAGGUGUUAAAACUCUGAAUCAAAUCUCAAGAUCUCAGCGAAGGCGCAGAGAAGGAAGAAGAGGAAUGGAUUCGGUGGAGAAGGGCUUGCUCGUGGUG